CGAAAGAAGCAUAUAUUCAACUGUGCUUUUGUUUUCUAUAGACAAUGUAUAACCUUGUUAUUUUUGAGAUAACAAAUGAAGUAGAAGUAGUGCCUUCAAAUUGGAUGAGUAAUGAUGAAUGUAUGUGGCCACCAAACAAAACGGAUGUUGUAAAAGCAACAAAAAAUAAGGAGCAGCCUGGGAAUGGAUGGACUCGACACAGGGUCAGAAUUAUAUUUACAUCAAAUAGUUACAAUAAGGCAAGAUUAAAGCUACCAGAAGCUGUUGACCAUACAGAUCUUGCAACAGAUGAGGAAGAUUCUCCAAUUAAAGCUAAACGAAGGAGAGUGCCAAAGAACAUACUCUUUCCUGGGGAGGAUGAGAACGAUGAAAUCGGUGUAG